rnacentral:rRNA from 1 species
GGAUUGUAGUCUGCAACUCGACUACAUGAAGCUGGAAUCGCUAGUAAUCGCAAAUCAGCAUGUUGCGGUGAAUCCGUUCCCGGGUCUUGUACACACCGCCCGUCACACCAUGGGAGUUGGAAACGCCCGAAGUCAGUGACCGAACCGAAAGGGAGGAGCUGCCGAAGGCGGGUCGAAUAACUGGGGUGAAGUCGUAACAAGGUAAC